rnacentral:rRNA from 1 species
UACGGAGGGAGCUAGCGUUGUUCGGAAUUACUGGGCGUAAAGCGCGCGUAGGCGGCUUUGUAAGUUAGAGGUGAAAGCCCGGGGCUCAACCCCGGAACUGCCUUUAAGACUGCAUCGCUUGAAUCCAGGAGAGGUGAGUGGAAUUCCGAGUGUAGAGGUGAAAUUCGUAGAUAUUCGGAAGAACACCAGUGGCGAAGGCGGCUCACUGGACUGGUAUUGACGCUGAGGUGCGAAAGCGUGGGGAGCAAACAGGG